rnacentral:misc_RNA from 1 species
UUGAAAGAAAUCUCAGGCAAGGGGGAAGGUGGUUGUAGCUGGCCUUCAGGGGCAUGUGCACACUGUCUCUCUUUUGUUUGUUUCUUCAUUUUCUCCACUUGUGCACUGCUUGUAGGCAGCCUGGCAUUGUUCAGGUUGUCUAUGAUUUCUUUACAUACAUGAAACAAUGAAGUACAGAAUGUAAUAAAAAAGUUAAUA